UACUGGGGGGGUAAGCGUUGUUCGGAAUUACUGGGCGUAAAGGGCUCGUAGGCGGCCAACUAAGUCGGACGUGAAAUCCCUCAGCUUAACUGGGGAACUGCGUCCGAUACUGGAUGGCUUGGAUUUGGGAGAGGGAUGCGGAAUUCCAGGUGUAGCGGUGAAAUGCGUAGAUAUCUGGAGGAACACCGGUGGCGAAGGCGGCAUCCUGGACCAAUAUUGACGCUGAGGAGCGAAAGCCAGGGGAGCAAACGGG
rnacentral:rRNA from 1 species